rnacentral:rRNA from 1 species
ACUUAAGCAUAUCACUAAGCGGAGGAAAAGAAACUAACUAGGAUUCCCCCAGUAACUGCGAGUGAAGAGGGAAGAGCUCAUCAUUGGAAUCUGGCAGCGUUGCGCUGUCCGAGUUGUAGAUGAGAAGAGUAGGCCAUCUGGGCUGCAUGGUGUCCAAGUACAAUAGGCCGUCAGUGGGACAUCAUAGAGGGUGACAAUCCCGUCCUUGACACCAAUGUACGAGUCCUUUACGAUGCCUAUCUCGGAGAGUCGAGCAGUUUGGGAUUUGCUGCUUAAACAUGGGAGGUAGAUUCCUUCCAAAGCUAAAUACAGGCAAGAGACCGAUAGAGAACAAGUACCGCAAGGGAAAGAUGAAAUAGAACUCUGUGAAGGGAGUCAAAAGACGUGAAAUUGUUGCGAGAGAAGCGAUUCAAGUCAGCGUAGCUGGGCCCAUCAAGCCUCGCGCUUUGGACCAGCUUUGCCAGCGGUCUUGUCCCUAGAGACUUGACUAAGGUGCCCUGCCCGGUCUAACGGGCAGACCUCCCCUGGAGGCCAGUGGCAUGGCUGGUGGAAUGGCUUGCAAUCGACCCGUCUUGAAACACGGACCAAGGAGUCUAACAUGCAUGCGAGUAUAAGGGUGGCAAACCCGUAUGCGCAAAGAAAGUGAUAGCCUUUUAUGGCCGAGAAUGACCUGAUGACCAGACAAGCAAUAUUAUGUCCCUCGUACGGUCAUUGCCCAAGUCCCAUGGUCAGAUCCCAUGGACAUGGAGUUGGAGCGUGCAUGCUAGGACCCGAAAGAUGGUGAACUAUGCCUGGACAAAGCGAAGCCAAAGGAAACUCUGGUGGAGGCUUGUAGCGAUUCUGACGUGCAAAUCGAUCGUCUGAUCUGGGUAUAGGGGCGAAAGACUAAUCGAACCAUCUCAUAGCUGGUUCCUGCCGAAGUCUCCCUCCAGGGAUA